rnacentral:rRNA from 1 species
AUACGGAGGGUGCAAGCGUUGUUCGGAAUCACUGGGCGUAAAGGGCGCGCAGGCGGUUUGGUAAGUCAGAUGUGAAAGCCCAUGGCUCAACCAUGGAAGUGCAUUUGAAACUGUCAGACUUGAGUACUAGAGGGGAAAGUGGAAUUCCCGGUGUAGAGGUGAAAUUCGUAGAUAUCGGGAGAAAUACCGGUGGCGAAGGCGACUUUCUGGCUGGAUACUGACGCUGAGGCGCGAAAGCGUGGGGAGCAAACAGGAUUAGAUACCCCAGUAGUCC